AUUUCUACAACUUCAAGAAUCAGGUUGGAUCGUUCAGAGAAGAUCAAUUGAAGCAACUUCUCAAAGCUUCAGUAGCAAGACUUUUGUGCGACAAUGUAAAAGGGACUACAAAAGUAUUGAAAAAUACUUUUCAUAAACUAUCAAAGAGGAACCCUCUCAUAUCUUGCAGUCAUGUACCUUCCAUAGACUUGGCAUGCUGGAAAGCUAAAUAAAGAAUAAUGAUGAAGCUCUCUUCAAACAACUCAUAUCAUCGCCACAUGCAGCCUAUUUAUUUCGUAAUUUCAUGUACAAUUUAACAAUCUGCUCAUUCCAUGAUGUUAA